GAGGAAUAUUGGUCAAUGGACGCAAGUCUGAACCAGCCAAGUAGCGUGCAGGAUGACGGCCCUAUGGGUUGUAAACUGCUUUUAUGUGGGAAUAAGUUGGCGCACGUGUGCGCCAUUGCAUGUACCUCAUGAAUAAGGACCGGCUAAUUCCGUGCCAGCAGCCGCGGUAAUACGGAAGGUCCAGGCGUUAUCCGGAUUUAUUGGGUUUAAAGGGAGCGUAGGCUGGAGAUUAAGUGUGUUGUGAAAUGUAGACGCUCAACGUCUGAAUUGCAGCGCAUACUGGUUUCCUUGAGUACGCACAACGUUGGCGGAAUUCGUCGUGUAGCGGUGAAAUGCUUAGAUAUGACGAAGAACUCCGAUUGCGAAGGCAGCUGACGGGAGCGCAACUGACGCUUAAGCUCGAAGGUGCGGGUAUCAAACAGGAUUAGAUACCCUGGUAGUCCGCACAGUAAACGAUGGAUGCCCGCUGUUGGUACCUGGUAUCAGCGGCUAAGCGAAAGCAUUAAGCAUCCCACCUGGGGAGUACGCCGGCAACGGUG
rnacentral:rRNA from 1 species